rnacentral:rRNA from 1 species
GUGCCAGCAGCCGCGGUAAUACGUAAGGACCGAGCGUUGUCCGGAAUCAUUGGGCGUAAAGGGUACGUAGGCGGCUAGAAAAGUUAGAAGUCAAAGGCUAUAGCUCAACUAUAGUAAGCUUCUAAAACUAUUUAGCUUGAGAAAUGGAAGGGAAAGUGGAAUUCCUAGUGUAGCGGUGGAAUGCGCAGAUAUUAGGAAGAAUACCGGUGGCGAAGGCGACUUUCUGGCCAUUAUCUGACGCUGAGGUACGAAAGC